AACACAUGCAAGUCGAACGAGGACUGUUCAGCUUGCUGAACAGUUUUAGUGGCGGACGGGUGAGUAACCGCGUAAGAAUCUGCCCCUGGGAGAGGGAUACCAAUUGGAAACGGUUGUUAAUACCUCAUGUGCUGAGGAGUGAAAAGGUUUACACCGCCUAGGGAUGAGCUUGCGUCUGAUUAGCUAGUUGGUGGGGUAAUGGCCUACCGAGGCAAUGAUCAGUAGCUGGUUUGAGAGGACGAUCAGCCACACUUGGGACUGAGACACCGGCCCAGACUCCUACGGGAGGCAGCAAGUGAGGAAUUUUCCCGCAAUGGGGCGAAAGCCUUGACGGAGCAAUGCCGCGUGGAGGAUGACCGGCCCGUGGGUUGUAAACUCCUUCUCUUUGGAGAAGAAUAACUUGACCGGUAUCCAAGGGAAU
rnacentral:rRNA from 1 species